rnacentral:rRNA from 1 species
GAGUUUGAUCUUGGCUCAGAUUGAACGCUGGCGGCAUGCUUUACACAUGCAAGUCGAACGGCAGCGCGGGCUUCGGCCUGGCGGCGAGUGGCGAACGGGUGAGUAAUAUAUCGGAACGUACCCAAGAGUGGGGGAUAACGUAGCGAAAGUUACGCUAAUACCGCAUACGAUCCAAGGAUGAAAGCAGGGGACCUUCGGGGCCUUGUGCUCCUGGAGCGGCCGAUAUCUGAUUAGCUAGUUGGUGAGGUAAAGGCUCACCAAGGCAACGAUCAGUAGCUGGUCUGAGAGGACGACCAGCCACACUGGAACUGAGACACGGUCCAGGCUCCUACGGGAGGCAGCAGUGGGGAAUUUUGGACAAUGGGGGCAACCCUGAUCCAGCCAUUCCGCGUGCAGGAUGAAGGCCCUCGGGUUGUAAACUGCUUUUGUACGGAACGAAAAGGCCUUUCUAAUACAGAGGGCUCAUGACGGUACCGUAAGAAUAAGCACGGCUAACUACGUGCCAGCCGCCGCCGUAAC